rnacentral:rRNA from 1 species
AGAGUUUGAUCCUGGCUCAGAGCGAACGCUGGCGGCAGGCCUAACAACAUGCAAGUCGAACGCACCUUCGGGUGAGUGGCGGACGGGAGAGUAACACGUGGGAACGUACCUUUAGGUUCGGAAUAACGCAGGGAAACCUGCGCUAAUACCGAAUGUGCCCUUUUGGGGAAAGAUUUAUCGCCUUUAGAGCGGCCCGCGUUAGAUUAGCUAGUUGGUGGGGUAAUGGCCCACCAAGGCUACGAUCUAUAGCUGGUCUGAGAGGAUGAUCAGCCACACUGGGACUGAGACACGGCCCAGACUCCUACGGGAGGCAGCAGUGGGGAAUCUUGCGCAAUGGGCGAAAGCCUGACGCAGCCAUGCCGCGUGAAUGAUGACGGUCUUAGGAUUGUAAAAUUCUUUUAGCAGGGACGAUAAUGACGGUACCUGCAGAAAAAGCCCCGGCUAACUUCGUGCCAGCAGCCGCGGUAAUACGAAGGGGGCUAGCGUUGCUCGGAAUUACUGGGCGUAAAGGGAGCGUAGGCGGGUUAUCAAGUUGGAGGUGAAAGCCCAGGGCUCAACCUUGGAAUUGCCUUCAAAACUGAUAGCCUAGAGUAUGGAAGAGGUAAGUGGAACUCCGAGUGUAGAGGUGAAAUUCGUAGAUAUUCGGAAGAACACCAGUGGCGAAGGCGACUUACUGGUCCAUGACUGACGCUGAGGCUCGAAAGCGUGGGGAGCAAACAGGAUUAGAUACCCUGGUAGUCCACGCUGUAAACGAUGAUUGCUAGUUGUCGGGCGGCAUGCCGUUCGGUGACGCAGCUAACGCAUUAAGCAAUCCGCCUGGGGAGUACGGUCGCAAGAUUAAAACUCAAAUGAAUUGACGG